AUACGUAGGGGGCGAGCGUUGUCCGGAAUGACUGGGCGUAAAGGGCGUGUAGGCGGCCGAUUAAGUCUGGAGUGAAAGUCCUGCUUUCAAGGUGGGAAUUGCUUUGGAGACUGGUUGGCUUGAGUGCGGAAGAGGUAAGUGGAAUUCCCAGUGUAGCGGUGAAAUGCGUAGAGAUUGGGAGGAACACCAGUGGCGAAGGCGACUUACUGGGCCGUAACUGACGCUGAGGCGCGAAAGCGUGGGGAGCGAACAGGAUUAGAUACCCUGGUAGUCCACGCGGUAAACGAUGAAUGCUAGGCGUAGGGGGUAUCGACCCCUCCUGUGCCGGAGUGAACACAAUAAGCAUUCCGCCUGGGGAGUACGGCCGCAAGGUUGAAACUCAAAUGAAUUGACGGGG
rnacentral:rRNA from 1 species